AGAGCAAUCCCCAGCACUGAGAAUGGGAUAUGUACUAGGGGAAAAUAUCCACUCCAAGGAGAAGGGAUUGGAUCUGGGCACCGAAGGCCUGACUGCCUUUUCACCAAGACUAAGUGAACCUGAAGAGUGCCAAACACCCACUGCUCCCAUCAAAUGCAGUGGCAGCCAUGCACAGUCACCUCCUCUGAAAAUUACGUUGCCAGAAAUCACGAGUCUGCUUGUGACAGGCUCAGGUGCUGGCAAAAGCUUCUGUGCGUGGAGCCCUCCUGGAGAUUAGCGCAAGCUAAGGUAAAGUGAGAAGGAUUUGGCCUUGCU
rnacentral:lncRNA from 1 species